CAAGGAAAGUGGCGCACGGGUGCGUAACGCGUAUGCAACCUACCUUAAUCAGGGGGAUAGCCCGAAGAAAUUCGGAUUAACACCGCAUAAAAACACAGGAUAGCAUUAUCCAAUGUUCAAAUAUUUAUAGGAUUAAGAUGGGCAUGCGUGUCAUUAGCUAGUUGGCGGGGUAACGGCCCACCAAGGCGACGAUGACUAGGGGAUCUGAGAGGAUGACCCCCCACACUGGUACUGAGACACGGACCAGACUCCUACGGGAGGCAGCAGUAAGGAAUAUUGGUCAAUGGAGGCAACUCUGAACCAGCCAUGCCGCGUGCAGGAAGACAGCCCUCUGGGUCGUAAACUGCUUUUAUUCGGGAAUAAACCUAUUUACGUGUAAAUAGCUGAAUGUACCGAAGGAAUAAGGAUCGGCUAACUCCGUGCCAGCAGCCGCGGUAAUACGGAGGAUCCAAGCGUUAUCCGGAUUUAUUGGGUUUAAAGGGUGCGUAGGCGGCUUAUUAAGUCAGGGGUGAAAGACGGUGGCUCAACCAUCGCAGUGCCCUUGAUACUGAUGAGCUUGAAUACACUAGAGGUAGGCGGAAUGUGACAAGUAGCGGUGAAAUGCAUAGAUAUGUCACAGAACACCGAUUGCGAAGGCAGCUUACUAUGGUGUGAUUGACGCUGAGGCACGAAAGCGUGGGGAUCAAACAGGAUUAGAUACCCUGGUAGUCCACGCCCUAAACGAUGAAUACUCGCUGUUAGCGAUACACAGUUAGCGGCUAAGCGAAAGCGUUAAGUAUUCCACCUGGGGAGUACGCUCGCAAG
rnacentral:rRNA from 1 species